rnacentral:lncRNA from 1 species
GCGGGGGAGGGAGGAGAGGAGCUGAGAGGCAGAGAGGGUGGGGCCUGGAAGCUGAGGACGCUGCGGGAUUAUGACUCCUGAAUGAGGACCGGAAAUGAACGGUGGAUGGUCACUCUGCCUUUGCUCCAUAUUGCACUAGUGAGAUCAGUGAUUUUCUCAGUGCAAAUAUCCUGGCCAUCAAUGCUGAGACUAGUCACCCUCUCCUGAUCUUCAUGAAUUGCUGA